rnacentral:lncRNA from 1 species
CGAUUUCAUUUGCACUAGGAUUUCAUAGGAAAUUUUCCAUCCGCUCAAACCUCUUUGAAAUAAUCCUAUGUUUUUCGUAUACACAACCAAACGCUCGUGCAAUCCUAUAGGAUUCAAGAUGACAUGCCACUUUAAUCCCAUGUUUUUUCUAUUCCUGUGUUUUGGAAAUCCUAUGAAUCAAAGAGGCCCUAAUUCACUCUCUGUACCAUGCAAGCAUGCAAUGAUGUCAUCAAAAAUCUCUUUAUUGCCUUGAAAUCUGAAAAGUUUUAUUUCUAAAACCGUCAAUUGAUAUGUUUUCAUGUUGGCUUUGUCGCAAGGAGUUGGUACGAUUGGGCGGCAGCUGCGGGGGCAGCGUGGCGUCGGCCAUGCAUGGCGGCGGCGGAUCUGCAGUUUCCCACCCCAGAUUGGUUUUCCUCUAUCGCACGGGGACGCCUGGGGUGGCGAACCUGGGCUUGGUGGUGGUGGUCAUCUCCUUCGUCGAAGGUGGUCGGCCUAAAGGCUGGGUGGUCGGAUAUCGAGAUCCGUGAUCUAGCACCGACUAAGAGUUUGGAAGAUAUAGUUGCUGGUGAAAACCGAGCCAAUGGCGACGUUCUACGCCGUUACCUUGAUGAAGGUAUCUUAUAUAACUAUUGUCGAUCCACUCAUGUUGUUCCGGCAGAAACUAUAUGAUGGUCUUCUAAAUCGGACGAUGGCGACACUGUAGUGCAGUUAUUUUCUUGAGAGCAUCAUUUAUCGACUAGCGCUAGAUGUCAGAG